rnacentral:rRNA from 1 species
GUACGGAAGGCAGCAGUCGAGAAUCAUUCACAAUGGGCGAAAGCCUGAUGGUGUGACGCCGCGUGGAGGAUGACGGUCUUCGGAUUGUAAACUCCUGUCAUGUGAGAGUAAGAACCGGGGAGUAACUGCCUGCGGUUUUGAGAGUAUCACAAGAGGAAGAGGCGGCUAACUCUGUGCCAGCAGCCGCGGUAAUACAGAGGCCUCAAGCGUUGUUCGGAAUCACUGGGCGUAAAGGGUGCGUAGGCGGCGCGGAAAGUCAGGGGUGAAAUCCCGGAGCUCAACUCCGGAACUGCCUUUGAUACUCCCGCGCUUGAGAACUGGAGGGGACAUCGGAAUUCACGGUGGAGCAGUGAAAUGCGUGGAUAUCGUGAGGAACACUAGUGGCGAAGGCGGAUGUCUGGACAGUAUCUGACGCUGAGGCACGAAGGCCAGGGGAGCGAACGGGAUUAGAUACCCUGGUAGUCCG